rnacentral:rRNA from 1 species
UGGGCGUUAAGUUGCAGGGUAUAGACCCGAAACCCGGUGAUCUAGCCAUGGGCAGGUUGAAGGUUGGGUAACACUAACUGGAGGACCGAACCGACUAAUGUUGAAAAAUUAGCGGAUGACCUGUGGCUGGGGGUGAAAGGCCAAUCAAACCGGGAGAUAGCUGGUUCUCCCCGAAAGCUAUUUAGGUAGCGCCUCGUGAAUUCAUCUCCGGGGGUAGAGCACUGUUUCGGCUAGGGGGCCAUCCCGGCUUACCAACCCGAUGCAAACUGCGAAUACCGGAGAAUGUUAUCACGGGAGACACACGGCGGGUGCUAACGUCCGUCGUGAAGAGGGAAACAACCCAGACCGCCAGCUAAGGUCCCAAAGUCAUGGUUAAGUGGGAAACGAUGUGGGAAGGCCCAGACAGCCAGGAUGUUGGCUUAGAAGCAGCCAUCAUUUAAAGAAAGCGUAAUAGCUCACUGGUCGAGUCGGCCUGCGCGGAAGAUGUAACGGGGCUAAACCAUGCACCGAAGCUGCGGCAGCGACGCUGAUGCGUUGUUGGGUAGGGGAGCGUUCUGUAAGCCUGCGAAGGUGGCCUGUGAGGGUUGCUGGAGGUAUCAGAAGUGCGAAUGCUGACAUAAGUAACGAUAAAGCGGGUGAAAAGCCCGCUCGCCGGAAGACCAAGGGUUCCUGUCCAACGUUAAUCGGGGCAGGGUGAGUCGACCCCUAAGGCGAGGCCGAAAGGCGUAGUCGAUGGGAAACGGGUUAAUAUUCCCGUACUUGGUGUUACUGCGAAGGGGGGACGGAGAAGGCUAUGUUGGCCGGGCGACGGUUGUCCCGGUUUAAGCGUGUAGGUGUGUGUUCCAGGUAAAUCCGGUUCACUUUAACACUGAGGCGUGACGACGAGGCACUACGGUGCUGAAGCAACAAAUGCCCUGCUUCCAGGAAAAGCCUCUAAGCAUCAGGUAACAUCAAAUCGUACCCCAAACCGACACAGGUGGUCAGGUAGAGAAUACCAAGGCGCUUGAGAGAACUCGGGUGAAGGAACUAGGCAAAAUGGUGCCGUAACUUCGGGAGAAGGCACGCUGACACGUAGGUGAAGUGAUUUACUCAUGGAGCUGAAGUCAGUCGAAGAUACCAGCUGGCUGCAACUGUUUAUUAAAAACACAGCACUGUGCAAACACGAAAGUGGACGUAUACGGUGUGACGCCUGCCCGGUGCCGGAAGGUUAAUUGAUGGGGUCAGCGCAAGCGAAGCUCCUGAUCGAAGCCCCGGUAAACGGCGGCCGUAACUAUAACGGUCCUAAGGUAGCGAAAUUCCUUGUCGGGUAAGUUCCGACCUGCACGAAUGGCGUAAUGAUGGCCAGGCUGUCUCCACCCGAGACUCAGUGAAAUUGAACUCGCUGUGAAGAUGCAGUGUACCCGCGGCAAGACGGAAAGACCCCGUGAACCUUUACUAUAGCUUGACACUGAACAUUGAGCCUUGAUGUGUAGGAUAGGUGGGAGGCUUUGAAGUGUGGACGCCAGUCUGCAUGGAGCCGGCCUUGAAAUACCACCCUUUAAUGUUUGAUGUUCUAACGUGGACCCGUGAUCCGGGUUGCGGACAGUGUCUGGUGGGUAGUUUGACUGGGGCGGUCUCCUCCUAAAGAGUAACGGAGGAGCACGAAGGUUGGCUAAUCCUGGUCGGACAUCAGGAGGUUAGUGCAAUGGCAUAAGCCAGCUUGACUGCGAGCGUGACGGCGCGAGCAGGUGCGAAAGCAGGUCAUAGUGAUCCGGUGGUUCUGAAUGGAAGGGCCAUCGCUCAACGGAUAAAAGGUACUCCGGGGAUAACAGGCUGAUACCGCCCAAGAGUUCAUAUCGACGGCGGUGUUUGGCACCUCGAUGUCGGCUCAUCACAUCCUGGGGCUGAAGUAGGUCCCAAGGGUAUGGCUGUUCGCCAUUUAAAGUGGUACGCGAGCUGGGUUUAGAACGUCGUGAGACAGUUCGGUCCCUAUCUGCCGUGGGCGCUGGAGAACUGAGGGGGGCUGCUCCUAGUACGAGAGGACCGGAGUGGACGCAUCACUGGUGUUCGGGUUGUCAUGCCAAUGGCACUGCCCGGUAGCUAAAUGCGGAAGAGAUAAGUGCUGAAAGCAUCUAAGCACGAAACUUGCCCCGAGAUGAGUUCUCCCUGAGACUUAGAGUCUCCUGAAGGAACGUUGAAGACGACGACGUUGAUAGGCCGGGUGUGUAAGCGCAGCGAUGCGUUGAGCUAACCGGUACUAAUGAACCGUGAGGCUUAACCUUACA